AGUGAACGCUGGCGGUAGGCCUAACACAUGCAAGUCGAACGGCAGCACAGUAAGAGCUUGCUCUUACGGUUGGCGAGUGGCGGACGGGUGAGGAAUACAUCGGAAUCUACUUUUUCGUGGGGGAUAACGUAGGGAAACUUACGCUAAUACCGCAUACGACCUACGGGUGAAAGCAGUGGAUCUUCGGACCUUGCGCGAUUGUAUGAGCCGAUGUCGGAUUAGAUAGUUGGCGGGGUAAAGGCCCACCAAGGCGACGAUCCGUAGCUUGUCUGAGAGGAUGAUCAGCCACACUGGAACGGAGACACGGUCCAGACUCCUACGGGAGGCAGCAGUGGGGAAUAUUGGACAAUGGGCGAAAGCCGGAUCCAGCAAGACCGCGUGGGUGAAGAAGGCCUUCGGGUUGUAAAGCCCUUUUGUUGGGAAAGAAAAGCAGCAGGUUAAUACCACGCUGUUCUGACGGUACCCAAAGAAUAAGCACCGGCUAACUUCGUG
rnacentral:rRNA from 1 species